AGAUGAGUUGGGCCCUGCCUUCCCCCCAACCCCGCCUGUCAUGAGAAUAGCCCCUUUGUCUUUUUGACAAAACAAGCUGAUAUUAUAUCUACAUGCCUUUUCACAUAAGCAUUUCCAAAGAUACCCAGCAGCAAAAGCUAAGACUAGAGCUUUACUGCCCCUUCUCCUUAAGGCCUGAUUUUUCCAGGCAGGUUUUUUUUUUUUUUUUGGCCUAUGGAGAUGUUUCAGCAUCAAUUUUGAUCAUAUUCUCUUUCACACUCUCUAUCGAAGGUACUAAAAAGGGAAUUCACAGGAAUUUGUAAGGUGCCAUAAGCAAUGUUCUCAGAAGUGUAAAAGAAAUGAAUAUGAUAAUAGCUUUCAUACUAAGUUCUCCUUCCAUGUGUUUAGUUCACUGGGUGUUAAAGACGUUCUGUGGCCAUUUAAGUGAGUCAAAUGAAGAUGUAAUCAGAAUUCAUCAGGCCUCAGAAGCCUCCCUGACUUCAGGAUCAGCUGUUUUCUGCUUGAGGAAAUUGAGCAUAAGAAUCUGAGUUAAUCCAGACAGCACUAAUGAGAAGAAAUACAUUCAACAGUAGGAACAAUUCUGGUCAUGUGUGUACUGAGUGUAUUCCUUCUUGUUGCUGUUAUCUCAGGUUUAACGUCUUGAAAUCCAAAGAAUGGAGCACAAGUCUGAAGAACUCCAAUAUAUGAAUGUGCACAGUAAGAAGCAUUUCAAAAUAUAUGGCCCCAAAAGCAAAAAAAGGACCAUGAUUUACCAGGACCAAGCACCAAAGAAUCAAGACUGAUCCUAGUAAUAAAGGCUAUUGGAAUGUAUGUAUUUGCCCACCUGAGAGUUAUUGCUUCUUACAGUUGACCAGAUAAACACAAUGUAUUGCAAAGACAUGGUCAUCCCCCCCGUCCCACUAAUUCCUAUUUAUACAUAACCAAUUCAUUUAUCUCUAAAAUCUGUUGUGGGAUGGAAUGCAGCACAUAAGCAUAAUGUGAUGUUAUAAUGCUCAAAUGUUGAAGGAUAUGAAUUAAAAAAUGCAAGCGCAAAAGAUACUUAGACAGAAGGAAAUAAUCUGCAAAAUGUUGUUUGCUUCUU